AGGCGCGUAGCUCAGUGGGAGAGCACUUCCUUGACGCGGAAGGGGUCUACGGUUCAAAUCCGUACGCGCCUACCA
rnacentral:tRNA from 1 species